AGACCCGGAAGCGGAUCGCGGGGAGUGAAGGCUGCGCCGCCGAGCCUGAGUUUCGCUCUCUCUAGAUUAAAUCUGCGCUUCGCAGUCCCCCUUCUUCCAUCCCCCGGGUCUGGAGGGGUCCCUACAGAUCUUAAAAUGACCACACCGCGCCCUCCACCCCAGGGAAGGUUGACAUUCAGGGACGUGGCCAUCGAAUUCUCUCAGGAGGAGUGGAAAUGCCUGGACCCUGCUCAGAGGGCUUUGUACAGGGACGUGAUGUUGGAGAACUACAGGAACCUGGUCUCCCUGGGAAUCUCUCUUUCUGAAAUGAGUAUUACCUCCAUGUUGGGGCAAGGGAAAGAGCCCUGGACUGUGGAGAGUGAAGUGAAAAUAACAAAAACAUCAAGUGGUUGGGAAUGCAUCAAAGGUGUGAACACAGAUGUCUCUCCUACACAUAUGAUCAAGGAAUUACCACCAAAAGAGAACAAUAGCACAGGAAAAGUAUUCCAAGCAGUGAUGUUGGAAAGACAUGAAAUCCAUGACAUCCAAGAUUUUUACUUCAGAGAAAUGCAGCAAAAUAUUCAUGACUUUGAGUGUCAGUGUCACAAUGAUGAGAGAAAUUACAGAGAAAUACCUGCAAUUAAAAUUAAAAACAUCACUGGAAGAAGAGAUCAAGGUGAUGGAAGGAAUGCAGGAAAUAAGCCAGUUGAAAAUCAGCUUGAACUAAGCUUUUGGUUGCAUCUGGCUGAACUGCAGGGAUUUCAAAUUGAAAGGAAAAUUUAUGAAUGUAAUCAAAUUGAGAAGUCUGUCACCCGUGGGUCCUCAGUUUCAUUACUUCAAACAAAUCUUCCUUGUGUCAACACCAGCAUUUCUAAUAUAUACAGGAAUGAUUUUAUGCAUCCUUCAUUACUCACACAAGACCAGAAAGCAUACAUUAGGGAAAAACCUUACAAAUGUAGUGAUUGUGGCAAGGCCUUUAAUCAGAGGUCCAACCUUACUACACAUCAGAGAAUCCAUACUGGACAGAAACCACAUAAAUGUGACAUAUGUGGCAAAGGUUUCAGGCGAAUUGCAAACCUAGCAAGUCAUCAUAGAAUUCAUACUGGAGAGAAACCUUACAGAUGUAAUGAGUGUGGCAAGACCUUCAAUCAGACGUUCAACCUUACUACACAUCAGAGAAUCCAUACUGGACAGAAACCAUAUAAAUGUGAUAGAUGUGGCAAAGGUUUCAGGCAAAUUGGAAACCUAGCAAGUCAUCAUAGAAUUCAUACUGGAGAGAAACCUUACAGAUGUAACGAGUGUGGCAAGACCUUUAACAGGAUGUUCCACCUUACUAGACAUCAGAGAAUCCAUACUGGACAGAAACCAUAUAAAUGUGAUAUAUGUGGCAAAGGUUUCAGGCAAAUUGCAAACCUAGCAAGUCAUCAUAGAAUUCAUACUGGAGAGAAACCUUACAAAUGUAGUGAUUGUGGCAAGACCUUUAAUUACAGGUCCCACCUUACAAGACAUCAGAGAAUCCAUACUGGACAGAAACCGUAUAAAUGUGAUACAUGUGGCAAAGAUUUCAGUCAAAAUUCAUACCUUGAAAAUCAUCAGAGAAUUCACACUAGAGAGAAAUCUUACAGAUGUAAUGAGUGUGGCAAGACCUUUAAUAAGAUGACCAACCUUACUACACAUCAGAGAAUCCAUACUGGACAGAAAACAUAUAAAUGUGAUAUAUGUGGCAAAGGUUUCAGGCAAAUUGGAAACCUAGCAAGUCAUCAUAGAAUUCAUACUGGAGAGAAACCUUACAGAUGUAAUGAGUGUGGCAAGACCUUCAAUAGGAUGUUCCACCUUACUAGACAUCAGAGAAUCCAUACUGGACAGAAACCAUAUAAAUGUGAUAUAUGUGGCAAAAGUUUCAGUCAAAAUUCAUACCUUGAAAAUCAUCAGAGAAUUCACACUGGAGAGAAAACUUACAAGUUGUAAUUAGUGUGGCAAAGCCUUUAGCGUGCGCUCAAACCUAACUAAACAUCAGGUCAUCCAUAAUGGAGAGAGACCUUAUAAAUGUAAUGAGUGGGACAAGGCUUUUUUUUCAGAGUUCAAAAUUGUAAAACAUCACAGGAUUCAUUCUGGAGAGAAACAAAACAAAAGUAAUGAAUGUAGUAAGGCAUUUAUUCAAAAUUCAAGUCUGGUGGACCAUCAGAGAACUCACACUGGAGAGAAACCUUACAAGUGUAAUGAGUGUGGUAAAACCUUUAUUGGGCAUUCAAGCCUAACUAACCAUCAGGUAAUUCAUACUGGAGAGAAACCUUACAAAUGUAAUGAGUGUGGAAAGGCUUAUGUGAAGUGGUCCCACCUUAGACAUCAUGAGAGUAUUCAAACUGGAGAGAAGCCAUACAAAUGUACCAAAUGCAGCAAGGCCUUUAGACAAUGGGCGGACAUCAGGAUUCACCAAAAAAUCUAUGCUGGAGAGAAACCUCACAAGUAUGAUGAGUGUGGAAAAACCUUUACCCAGGCCUCUCACCUCACUAUACAUCAGAUUAUCCAUACUGGAGAGAAACCAUAUGAAUAUGACAUAUAUGGCAAAGUCUUCAGUCAAAAUUCACAUUUCAAAAGUUAUCAUAGGAUUUGUACUGAAGAGAAGCCUUACAAAUGUGUGUGGCAAGGUCCUCAGUCAAAAUUCACACCUUGUAAAUCAUCAGAGAAUUCAUACUGGAGAGAAAUCCUACAGAUGUCAUGAAUGUGGCAAAGCCUUUACUCAAGGCUCACGCUUCAUUAAUCAUCAGAUAGUUCAUACUGGAGAGAACUUUCCAAAUGUACUGAAUGUAGCAAGGCUUUUAAGAAUGGCCCUAAACUCAGGACUCACCAAAUAGAUCAUACUUGUAAAUGCAAUGAAUGUAGCAGUGUUUUAAAGUAGUGCUUGCUACUCAUUAGAUAAGAGUAUCUAAUAUAUCUUGGGGCAAAGGCACACAAAUGCAAUGUCUGUGACAAGGAUUUUAUCUGAGGAUCAAAAGUUGGGGAACAGAAUAAUUCGUACUGGGGAGAAACCUUAGAAAUCCAAUGAGCAUGGGAAAAACUUUACCAUGAGUUCAAGUACUACAAGACAUCAGAGAGUUCAUAUUGAAGAGAAACCAUGUAAAUAUAAGGAAUAGUUUCUACUCCAGAGGAAUCUCCUUUUUCAGAUGUGAGCACUCACAGAGACCCAGCAUACUCCUGUUUCCCUUACAUACAGACUCUGCCUCACAUUCUAAAAUAGAAAAUA
rnacentral:lncRNA from 1 species